GAUACGCAGGCAGUGGUUUUCCUGAGGCCAGAAGGAGGGAUGGAGGUCAGGGGAGAAAAGAGGAAGUGGAAAUAUAAAUAGGUUACUAAUGGUGUGUUCCUGAAUCCUCGGACGCCAGCCUUCCGAGUUGCACUUUUGCUGUCAAUUCCGGUCUGGGAUUAUUUAUAGCGUUCUUGUUCGUCUUUGUGAUUGUGUCAUGAAAUUGGCAAGUCGUUGUUUAUUGUUAGCUACAUUAACCUCUUUAGCAAACCAGCCCGAAAAAGAACAACAUAACUUUACAUUGUAUUGCGCACACAGCAAGACCAUGCAAUGUAUGAAUUGGUGACCGGAGGGGAGUAGCAAUGUUAUCGAGUGUGUAAGAGCAUUUAAAAAUCGAAAACACCAAGGUCAUGUUCAAGUUCACGCUGCAGGCCGAAGUGGCACGAAUGCUAUCUUUUUGGACGGUGUAAACAACUGAACACACAGCACAUGGAACCUAAUCUAUACACCCUAGGUUAGAUUAGACCGUGGGGCUACGUGGAUCUCGCUCCGACACUUGUGCCGGAUCUCGUGGGCAAUGUUACCAGACGAACAGACGCAGCUAAAGUCGCAGCAUAAUAAUAACAGCUGGAGCUGGGCUGGAAGGUAUUUGCCGUGGACGCUGCACCAGGGAGUGUCUGACAAGGUGCCCAGGUUAUGGGAGUGGAGCGGGGGGGUAGCGGCGGGGUCUUACCGACGCCAGCUUGUCGAAGCGGGCAAAGAGCUCGUUGAGGGUCAUGACCAGCUCCUGGGCGGUGCACUGGGACGCCAGACUGGUGAAGCCCUCGAUGUCCGCAAACAGAAUGCUAACGGACGCACAGAGAGGAGGAGAAGGAAGAGAAGAGAAGGAAAGGAAAAAACAUGUUGAGGGUGAUGAUCAGAACCAAAACCUUUUUUUUUUUUUUUUACACGGAUCCUCGGUUUGGGAGACCUUGCACAUCCAUGUCAAAGCCGCGAUCCAUUGAACAUAAGAAUCAAGGCGUUAUCUCUCAUGACAACAGAGCCAAUUAGGCAGCCCUUUGUUGUCAUGGGAAGACUCACAAGAUGUGUCCCAUGAAGAAGAGGACUGCUACACACAACAUCUUAUGGAACAUCAUGUCUUCCUUCUUGGCAUUGAUGUCCGCCUUCAUCUCCAUGGCAACAUGCCUCGGCAACACAGAGAGCAACAGGCGUUCCUGCAAAAGGAAAAAAAGAGCGAAUGUCACCCACAAUAAUAUCUGGUAGCUGCAAUAUGUUCGCUCUGUUCAUGUGGGAGUGUUUGUGUGCGAAGGUUUGUGUGUGUGUGUGUGGGCAUAUGUGUCUGCGUCCAUUUGUUUGUUAAUGUUUGCAUAUGAGUAAAUGUGUGUGAAUUUGUGGGUGCAUGUGUUUGAGCGUUUUUAUUUUUUAUAAGCAUGUGUGUGUGUCUGUGUAUGUGUCCGUGUCUGUGUCUUUAUGGAUGUGUGUAUGUGUGCAUGUGCAUGUGUGCAUGAGUGUGUGUGUGUGUGUGUGUAUGCGCUCACUUGUGAGCGGGAUGACAUGUGUGUGUGUGCGUGUGUGUGUCUGUGUCUGUGUGGAUCCAUGAACUUGUGUGUGUGAUUACAUGUGUGUGCGUGUGCGUGUGUGUGUGUGUGUGCGUGUGUUUGUGGUUUGUGUGUGUGUGUGUGUGUGUGUAUGUGAGUGCAUCCAUGUGUGUGUGUGUGUGUGUGUGUGUAUGUGAGUGCAUCCAUGUGUGUGCGUGUGUGUGUGUGUGUGUGUGUGUGUGUGUGUGUAUCCAUGUGCGUGUGUGUAUGUUCGGAGGCCUACCUGCUGCUGGUUCUCCCUCUGCAGGUGCAGCCUUGCCUGGAUGUACCCGCGGGUCUCCUGGAAGGCCUGUCUCUGGGACACCUCGGCCGGGUAGUGGGUGCAGACGCCGAUGAUGUUAGUGCACAGGAAUAUCAGCACGUUGGCGCUCACCUGGAGGGACACGGGAAGAGGAAAGACUGCUGAAUUACUGCUGUAAGGGGAAUAACACGGCUUUCAACCGCUGCAGUAGUGAUAUUAGAACCAUGUACCAUGUACCCUUAAUUUAGUGCGGAAAUUAUUCAAGGAUUCAAUCAUUUGUUGACAGAAAAUUCUAGAUUCCUUGUUUUUGUCCUUUAUUAAAUUACAUUAGUUACUAAUAUAAAACUUAUCUAAAACUAAUAUAAAAAAAUAUGCACAGAUAAUUGUCACACACACACAAACACACACAGCCAUUCAGACAAACACACACACACACACACACACACACACACACACACACACACACACACACACACACACACACACACACACACACACACACACACACACACACACACACACACACACACACACACACACGUGUACUAACAAAAACACAAACAUGCAGGCGCAUUUCCUCUCGCAGGAAAUCAUCCUAUUUGUGGAAUCUGUUGUCCCCUUUGUCCCUUCACAGUCCAUUAACUACAUAAUAUAUUGUGCAGCACGGUUUACGUCGCCCAGCUCGGCUUCAAAUGACCCUCUUUUUAGCAUGUUCUCGGCUCUCCAACAGAGUUACACAAAAAAGUUUCCAAAUUAAUCCUGGGAAAUGGGAUAAAUGCUUGACCUGUGAUCGGGGCCAUAUCCUUUGAGAUAAGUUUGUUUACCACUUGAAGGCAAAGCUGUGUACUCCAGAGGAUGCGGCCGGAGACAGGAAAACGCUCACAACAGAAAGCCCACUGGACUCCAUAUCAAUAUCUUGAGCUUUAGCCUAAUAUUGACUUUUGGAACAAAUGCCCUCUUCUUCCAACGAUAACAUUGUGUCUCUCUUCUUGGUAUUCAUGCUGAGGGAUCCUGUUUAUGUUUCUUAAUUGUUUUUAUAGCGUCAAUGUGUGAUGUGAUAUAAAUACUGCCACCUGCUGUUAUUCCUGAAAAAAAUCUUCUCAUGAUAUCACUGUUAUUUACAGUUUUUUCUCAAUUGUUUACAAACAAAAAAUUGCACUAUGCACACAAUUCUGAAAACUUGAACCUCAUGUAUCAACUACAAUACUCCAGACUGCUAAACUCUAAGCACAAUUCCAUUGUUUUCACCCAUAUAGAAAUUCUAAAUCACAUUUUUGCAAAACUCUAAGCACAAUUCUCAUUAUUUAGCACACUCGGUUCACCUGGAAACACGGACCUUCAAAACGCAACAACAAAUUACCAAUAAGUCUAACUCACUUCUCACCUGUUCAAACUCAACUGGCAAAACACUUCAAUCAUGUGUAAGAGCAUAAAAGAUGACUCGUGAGCUCUGCUCAGUUGUAGAUAUGGUCCUCUGGCCUGAUCAGGGUCGGAGGUGGGAUACAGACUAAUUUACAUGUAGAUCUGUUUCACCUCAUUUAUAUUCUUAUUUUUAUUUUUUGUUUGCCUACGAAAAGCUUUUAAUGCAGUCAGUUCAGCUGAACAUUUGACUGUAUUACAGUAACAAAUAAAUAUUUGCUUUGUUA